UUGCUUCAGCAGCAUGUAUACUAAAAUUGGAGUGAUAUAGAGAAGAUAAGCAUGGCCCCUGCACAAGGAUGACACACAAAUUCAUGAAGCAUCCCAUAUUUUA